CAGAUCUGAGUGCAGAAACGACCACUGAAAAUAUUCUACCUAAUGUCAUUGAAGAAACAAGCACAGAAGUCACUGCCAAUGUUAGUCUACCCAGUGUCACUGAAGAUGCAAGUAAAGAAGCAAUUGAUGACGACAUAACUCCUGGUCCUGUGGAAG